UACGUAGGUGGCAAGCGUUGUCCGGAAUUAUUGGGCGUAAAGCGCGCGCAGGUGGUUCCUUAAGUCUGAUGUGAAAGCCCACGGCUCAACCGUGGAGGGUCAUUGGAAACUGGGGAACUUGAGUGCAGAAGAGGAAAGUGGAAUUCCAAGUGUAGCGGUGAAAUGCGUAGAGAUCGGGAAGAACAUCAGUGGCGAAGGCGGCCCACUGGGCCGGUACUGACGCUGAGGCGCGAAGGCGUGGGGAGCGAACGGG
rnacentral:rRNA from 1 species